GAUGAACGCUGGCGGCGUGCUUAACACAUGCAAGUCGAACGGAAAGGCCCAAGCUUGCUUGGGUCCUCGAGUGGCGAACGGGUGAGUAACACGUGGGUGAUCUGCCCUGCACUUCGGGAUAAGCCUGGGAAACUGGGUCUAAUACCGGAUAGGACCACAUUUUGGAUGGUGUGGUGGAAAGUUUUUCGGUGUGGGAUGAGCUCGCGGCCUAUCGGCUUGUUGGUGGGGUAAUGGCCUACCAAGGCGUCGACGGGUAGCCGGCCUGAGAGGGUGUACGGCCAAAUUGGGACCGAGAUACGGCCCAGAAUCCUACGGGAGGCAGCAGUGGGGAAUAUUGCACAAUGGGGGCAAGCCUGAUGCAGCGACGCCGCGUGGGGGAUGACGGCCUUCGGGUUGUAAACUCCUUUCGCUAGGGACGAAGCGUUAUGUGACGGUACCUGGAGAAGAAGCACCGGCUAACUACGUG
rnacentral:rRNA from 1 species